CGGCGAGCGCCCCGCGGCCGCCCGGGCGAUAAAAGGGCCCCCCCAGACGCUCCUCCUCCGCCGGGCGAAGGUGACGCGGACGCGGCGGGCAGCGGUGCGUGUGGCGGCCCGGUCAUGGCGUCGCAGGCGGGAGGGCUGCCUGUGCCCCUGCUGCUGCUGCUGCUGCUCAGCCUUGCCGGGCGGGACGGCCUGGUGCUGGGGACGACAGGCACAGAUAAGACAGUGAAGGUGUCCCCAACUUUUUCUGCAUUCUCAAGACCCACGGAGACUUCAGUGCUUCUGCCCACCAUUACCUCCACCAGCACAGCCACCACUCCUCCAUCCAGCCCUGAAGUGGGAACCUCCACCCCAGAGGAGAGGUCCAGCACACCACCAUACACCUUCACAGCCAGCACUGUGACUACUUGGGGUAGCAGCCCCACAGUCUCUAAAGUCCUCACGCAGACUGAGAGGGGCAGCACAGCCCACAGCUCUGCCAGUUUGCCUGCUGGCACCACCAUGGUCCAGGUAGUCUCCAGCACCACAGGAAGGGGGACCACCACUGAUGCUCAGUCUCCAACCACUGCAGCUGUGACAUCCACCCAUGCUGAGAAGACAGCCAGCACAUCCCUGGGGACCAGCACUGCUCCAGGCGUCAGCUUGACCAGAGGUGACACAAGCAUGGUGCCUCCUUCCACCUCCUCUCUUCUUGCUUCCACCAUGGAGGGCACCACACUUGCCACGAGCACCAGUGAAGAGACAGCCACGACCUCCUCGCUUCGCAGCACAUCCCAGGAGACCAGCAGUGCAUCUCCCUCUACAACGACUCCUCCCAUCACAAUAGAAGAGACAUUCACUUUGGCUGGGUCCUCGACAUUGCUGGAAGGCACCAUAACUGCUUCCAUCACCAGCACAGCGGUCUCAGAGAGCACCCCCACUGCCACCCAGCCAGAGACCACAACUGGGACCACCCCUGGUAUCUCCACCCAAACCUCAGGGACAGCCCUGGACACCAUGACAGUGCCUCAAACCUCAAGUGCAGGAAUGAGCACGACUAAUGUUACCUCAGUUUACCCAUCCACGGAGCCCUCUUCCCUUGCCACUGACUUAAUCCAGAGUCCAGAGGUUACCAUCAGCACCACCGCAGACAAGCCAACGACACUGCUUGUCUGCCCCAGCGCCGCGACUAACACCAGUGCAUCUCACCUCUUUCUGUCACUGCGCCUAACCGUUCCCCUGGACCUUGAAAACUCCGUGGCCCAGGAGCUAAUUUUGUCCAAGCUCCGUGGGGAUCUGCAGACUGCGUUCCCGUGCGCUGGCUUCACGGUGGAGUGGAGAGGGAAGAGGAGGACCUGAACGCUCUUCUCCCAGCCUGAGGACCUGCAGGGCAGGGACCUGAGUAAAUUUGCAAGCCUUCUGCUCUCAGUUCCUUAUUCCAUGUUGGUGUGGCUCUCUAGGGUAACCUGUGCAGCUCCUGUUGAACCCAGACCCCCCCAUCCAACACUGCACCCCCGCAAGGACCACCAGUGUGCCCUGCACCCUAGUGUUCUCCUGAGCYGGGCUUGUCCCUGCCACUCCCUGCAGUCUAUCCGCAUCUCACUCCACGCUGCAGAGCUCAAGCCCUCCCAUGGCCUUGUACCAGUCCCGAUGCCCUCAUUUGGGUCCUUCUGCUGUCCCCUGGCUCUCUUGGGGGGCUGGAAGGAGAGACAGGCUGCCCAUGAGACCCUACAAGGGCUGGGCUUUCAUGGCUGGGACGGCAAUGAGCGAUGGCUGAGUCAUAAAAACCACCCUUGGGGCUGAUAAAUAAGAGAAAGGAGAUCUAGAGACCCUGUUCCUGGGCUAGUUAACACUGGUAGGUGGCAGGUCUCUGUCCAGAGCUUAGUCUGUUGGUACUAGUGACCUACAAGGCUUUGCAGCCUGGAGAUACUGCAAUACCAGAACCCUUGGAGAGCCGCUGCUAGAUGGGAAGAAGCUGGAGGGCUGCUUCGUGUCUGGAGCAGGGCCAGGAUGGAGUCCAGGGGUGGCUCUGGGAACAAAACAGAAGAGGAAAUGAGCCCCCUUUUCCAACCGAGUACAGUCCUGGGGCCAGCCGUGCUCUUCAGCCCUUCAGCGUGGAGGAUGAGUGAAACCGAAGCCCAUCAGCUCUCCCCCCGGGCCUGCCUAUGGUCUCGGUAAUGGAGCAGCGCAUCCACACCAACGCAGGCAGGGCAGUGAAAAGAAAUCCCACAUUUUCCAUGGCAAAGAUGAUGACUUCUUUUUUUCCAAGUYACCUUCCUGGAUUUUUGGCUUUGCUCUCUAGCAGGAGCACCAUGGAGGAAAACCAACURUAUCCAGCUGGGAACCAACUGGAUCUGAUUACUCCUUAGCAACCAGCAGUGGCCACCAGCUAGGAUGGGUUCCAGCACAGCCGAACCUUUAUUUAUAUGCUUCCUUCUCUGAAAUAAAUGAUGGGCUGGGAGAUUUGCUUUUGCA
ensembl:lncRNA mucin-5AC-like